rnacentral:rRNA from 1 species
AAUAGAUACCCAGGUAGUCCACGCCGUAAACGUUGGAUACUAGGUGUGGCGUCCCGAUCAACGGAUGCCGUGCCGAAGCUAACGCAUUAAGUAUCCCGCCUGGGGAGUACGGCCGCAAGGCUAAAACUCAAAGGAAUUGACGGGGUCCCCGCACAAGCGGCGGAGCAUGCGGCUUAAUUCGAUGCAACCCGAAGAACCUUACCUGGGUUUGAAAUCAUGGGAAAAGCUGUAGAAAUACAGUGUCCGUAAGGGCCCAUGACAGGUGGUGCAUGGCUGUCGUCAGCUCGUGUCGUGAGAUGUUGGGUUAAGUCCCGCAACGAGCGCAACCCUUGUCCUAUGUUGCCAGCGGUUCGGCCGGGGACUCAUAGGAGACUGCCGGGGAUAACUCGGAGGAAGGUGAGGACGACGUCAAGUCAUCAUGCCCCUUAUAUCCAGGGCUGCACGCAUGCUACAAUGGUCGGUACAACGGGCAGCGACCCCGCGAGGGUGAGCGAAUCCCACAAAGCCGGCCUCAGUUCGGAUUGGAGU